rnacentral:rRNA from 1 species
AACGAACGCUGGCGGCAUGCCUAACACAUGCAAGUCGAACGAGACCUUCGGGUCUAGUGGCGCACGUGUGCUUAACGCGUGGUAACCUGCCCUUAGGUUCGGUAUACCUCCCCGAAGGGGGUGCUAAUACCGGAUAAUGUCUUCGGGCCAAAGAUUUAUCGCCUUUGGAUGGGCCCGCGUUGGUUUAGCUAGUUGGUAGGGUAAUAGCCUACCAAGGCGAGGAUCCAUAGCUGGUCUGAGAGGAUGAUCAGCCACACUGGGACUGAGACACGGCCCAGACUCCUACGGGAGGCAGCAGUGGGGAAUAUUGGACAAUGGGCGAAAGCCUGAGCCAGCAAUGCCGCGUGAGUGAUGAAGGCCUUAGGGUUGUAAAGCUCUUUUACCCGGGAUGAUAAUGACAGUACCGGGAGAAUAAGCCCCGGCUAACUCCGUG